rnacentral:rRNA from 1 species
AUUGAACGCUGGCGGAAUGCUUUACACAUGCAAGUCGAACGGCAGCACGGACUUCGGUCUGGUGGCGAGUGGCGAACAGGUGAGUAACGUAUCGGAACGUGCCCAGUCGUGGGGGAUAACGUAGUGAAAAUUACGCUAAUACCGCAUACGAUCUAUGGAUGAAAGCGGGGGAUCGCAAGACCUCGCGCGAUUGGAGCGGCCGAUAUCAGAUUAGGUAGUUGGUGGGGUAAAGGCCCACCAAGCCAACGAUCUGUAGCUGGUCUGAGAGGACGACCAGCCACACUGGAACUGAGACACGGUCCAGACUCCUACGGGAGGCAGCAGUGGGGAAUUUUGGACAAUGGGCGAAAGCCUGAUCCAGCCAUUCCGCGUGCAGGAUGAAGGCCCUCGGGUUGUAAACCGCUUUUGUACAGAACGAAAAGGUUUCUACUAAUACUAGGAGCUCAUGACGGUACUGUAAGAAUAAGCACCGGCUAACUACGUGCCAGCCGCCGCCGUAA